CGUAGGGGGCGAGCGUUGUCCGGAAUCAUUGGGCGUAAAGCGCGUGUAGGCGGCUCGAUAAGUCCGGUGUGAAACCUUGGGGCUCAACCCCAAGCCUGCACUGGAUACUGCCGAGCUAGAGUCCGGGAGGGGAGAGCGGAAUUCCUAGUGUAGCGGUGAAAUGCGCAGAUAUUAGGAAGAACACCGGUGGCGAAGGCGGCUCUCUGGAACGGUACUGACGCUGAGACGCGAAAGCGUGGGGAGCGGACAGGAUUAGAUACCCUGGUAGUCCACGCCGUAAACGAUGGGCACUAGAUGUGGGCGGUGUCGACUCCGUCCGUGUCGAAGCUGACGCAUUAAAUGAGCCGCCUGGGGAGUACGGCCGCAAGGUUU
rnacentral:rRNA from 1 species